GUUCUUCCUCCUUGUGCCGGUUUAGUAUCGAGGGAAGAGAAAUCAAACGUCCGAGUUCACUCUCCUCAUCGGAUGGAAAGCGAGCGAGAGCAGUGAGCCCGUGAGCAUUGUUGAUGCAAACGAGGAGGUGUCCAGUUGGCAGUGGAGCAGUCGCUACUUUCAGUGAGAUGUGGUUUGGUGAGGGCUCUGCGUGGGGCCCCCCGGCUCCAGGUAGGAAUGCCCCGUUAGCUGGGGCUGGGUUUGUAAGAAAUGGUUCCUGACCAGUUGUGGUUACGAGAGAGACAAGGUCCCCAUUUUCAGGGGCUGCUCAGUUUGUUGGCUAGGAGCUGUGUGUCCUCUGCAGCGGAAGGUUGCAUCUAGGAGGAUGACUGCAGGUGGUGAGUUGCUUGCUUUCCUCCCAUUUCUUUCUCUCUGUGUCUCUCUCUCUCCUCUAGUGUGUUGGCCAACUUUCUCACUCUCUUUCCUAUCUCCUCUCCUCUCCUUGUGCCAUCUCCCCUUGUGGGACACGGGCAGGCGUGCUAGGUUUGCAUCCCCAGAGGCCAGGUCUCGGGAGCCAUGGAGAAGUAGGAGGAGAUGAAAAUAAUGCAGAGCAGUGGGCAUGAGAGCGGAGCACUGUUCCUGCAGAGGAAUUGUCCAGGAGUCCCAGCUGGAGGAGAGACUGGCAGAAAUGGAUCUGAGCAGCUUGGACAUCCUUCUAAGGAGACAUGAACAGUCCUCAGCUUUCUGAAUUCUGAAUAACUGGCUGUGAGUCAGAGUACCAAGGAAAAAGAAGACACACGUCAGUCUACAGCUCUCAUGCGAUGGACAGUGAUGAAGAGUGAUGGGACCUUGAGAAUUAUUCGAUGGCAUGAAAAAGCCAUCCAUCUGGGAGUGGAACAGACGGCACUGUCUCUGAGAUAAGUGUGUGUUUUGCUGAGGGUUCUUCUCAAGGCCCACCUGGCUCCUGAUAGGGACGCCCUGUUAGCUGGGCCUGGGUUUGUGUUAAAAAAAAAAAAAAAAAAUCCCUGAACAGCAGUGGUUACAAGGGAGACACGGGUUACGUUUUCGGGGCUGGUCAUUUCUCUGUUCACAAGCAGUGUGUCCUCUGCAGCAGAAGGUUGGAUCCAGGGAGAUGGCUCCAGCUGGACACGGGCAGCUGUGCUAGGGGUGCAUCCCCACAGGCUAGGUCUCGAGAGCUAUGAACAAGUAGCAGGGGAUGAAAAUCAUGCAGGAUAGUGAGUGCGAGAGUGGAGGCAGGUACUGGAAGAUGUCGUGCAUCUAUACUGUUUUUGUCAGUGAUGGCUCUUCCAUAGGUGGUUAGCUGUUCUUGCGGAGGGCUGCUCCAGGCCAGCGGAGCAGCCCUGUCUGGGGAUCUGAGGAAGCAGACAUACCCAAUAUAGCUGUUUUGCUUUGCAGUGGAGCCAAGGAGCAAUCUUGUAAUGUUGGAGGAUCAGUUCAUACUGAGAUAGGUCUCUGCCACAGGUUGGCCAAUCUCUCAUCUGACCAAAGAAGUAGUAGCCACCCUGAGCCCAUCGCUAGGGAUGGAAGCUGGACAAUGAUCUGCAGAGUAAGAGCAAAUGGAAAUUUUCUGAAGUUCAGUAUUGAGGGAGGGCUGCAAACACUCUUCUCAGUGGAGAGAAUUUGUGAGUAUGGGGAAGGCCCCUGAGGAAAGGCCUCUGCAUCUCACGGGGACACAAUAAGCUCAGGGGAAUCCUUUGUGCCCUGUCAAGGGGUUUUCAGGUGCUGUGGAGUCUUCCUGAAAUGGAGUAACCCUUUGUGGAGAGCCAGGAAGGUGCGUACAGGUGCUGAGUUUGCCUCCUUCCUAUGUGUGUAUCUCUGCUCUCAUAUGUUGUCCAACAUGCUGUUGUCUGCCUCUCCUUGCACUGUCUCCUUGCAUGGAACAUGGGCAAUGGUGGAUGCUUGCUGGCUUGGUCUGGAGAGUCUGUAUCCCACUGGGGCAUUGGGAGGAGGGAGAGAAGCAUGAUGGGUAUUAGAUCCUCCAUUGGUAGUGGUGUGGGAUGACUGUAGGAGUUGACUCUGACUCUGUUCAUCAAGUGGGGCUAAUGUACAGUGGAUGGGAGAGGGAGGGCGGCAUCUCAUACACCAGUAGAACUUGGGGCAGUGAUGGCUCCUGCUUGGGUUACAUGUUGUCUUUGCAGAGGGAUCGUCCAGGAGCCGCAGCUAGAGGAGAAACUGGAAGAAAUGAACCUGAGCAGCCUGAGCAUCCUUAUAAGCAGAGAUGAACAGUCCUCAGCUUUCUGCCUUCCACAUAACUGGCUGUGAGUAAGCGGUCAGUAUUUGGAAUUCCUCAUCUGUU